rnacentral:rRNA from 1 species
AGUGAACGCUGGCGAUAGGCCUAACACAUGCAAGUCGAACGGCAGCACAGUAAGAGCUUGCUCUUACGGGUGGCGAGUGGCGGACGGGUGAGGAAUACAUCGGAAUCUACUUUUUCGUGGGGGAUAACGUAGGGAAACUUACGCUAAUACCGCAUACGACCUAUGGGUGAAAGCAGGGAAUCUUCGGACCUUGCGCGAUUGAAUUAGCCGAUAUCGGAUUAGCUAGUUGGCGGGGUAAAGGCCCACCAAGGCGACGAUCCGUAGCUGGUCUGAGAGGAUGAUCAGCCACACUGGAACUGAGACACGGUCCAGACUCCUACGGGAGGCAGCAGUGGGGAAUAUUGGACAAUGGGCGCAAGCCUGAUCCAGCCAUACCGCGUGGGUGAAGAAGGCCUUCGGGUUGUAAAGCCCUUUUGUUGGGAAAGAAAAGCAGCAGGUUAAUACCCCGCUGUUCUGACGGUACCCAAAGAAUAAGCACCGGCUAACUUCGUG